GACGAACGCUGGCGGCGUGCUUAACACAUGCAAGUCGAACGGAAAGGCCCUGCUUGCAGGGUACUCGAGUGGCGAACGGGUGAGUAACACGCGGGUGAUCUGCCCUGCACUUCGGGAUAAGCCUGGGAAACUGGGUCUAAUACCGGAUAGGAGCCAUUUUUAGUGUGAUGGUUGGAAAGUUUUUUCGGUGUAGGAUGAGCUCGCGGCCUAUCAGCUUGUUGGUGGGGUAAUGGCCUACCAAGGCGGCGACGGGUAGCCGGCCUGAGAGGGUGGACGGCUACAUUGGGACUGAGAUACGGCCCAGACUCCUACGGGAGGCAGCAGUGGGGAAUAUUGCACAAUGGGCGCAAGCCUGAUGCAGCGACGCCGCGUGGGGGAUGACGGCCUUCGGGUUGUAAACUCCUUUCGCUAGGGACGAAGCUUUUUGUGACGGUACCUAGAUAAGAAGCACCGGCUAACUACGUG
rnacentral:rRNA from 1 species